rnacentral:misc_RNA from 1 species
AACGCACAUUGCGCCUCCUGGCAUUCCGGGAGGCAUGCCUGUUCGAGCGUCAUCAAAUCCUCUCAAGCUCAUGUUUAUUCAUGACUUGGUAUUGGAGCUGGAGUGGACAUAGGCCAUUCCUAUCCGAAUUCCAAUGGCAAAGUUGUCUGCAUCGAUAAGCGUAGUGAUCAACAUUAUGUUUCGCUGUGAGGUAGAUAAUCUUCCGCCGUUAACCACCCCCAAUUUUAAGUGUUUGACCUCGGAUCAGGUAGGGAUACCCGCUGAACUUAA